AACAAACCCACCCGUCUACACUGGGUGCCAGAGAUGGGCCCGGCGCGCCCUGACUCAGUGCUGGGCUGGCAGCGAGCUGGGCACACACGUGAGGCCCAGGCACACGCAUGCGAGUAGAGAGCUACAACACAAGUGCGUGUGCAGAGCCGGAAGUGCUGGGUACGCACAUGUGGGAGUGGCCCAGCCCUGGAACAGCAGAGCCUGCCCUGGUGGGAGGAUGAGGAAGGGAGUGCCACAGGUCUGAGGCUCUGGGCAGUUCCUCCCAUCGGAUGCUGACUUUGAUGGGGCAGAAGGAGUUCUUUCCGUCCCAUCCACCCCAACCCCAGGCCCGCAAACAGGUCAGGGGAGCAGCCUCACAGCCCCAAACCCACCCAAAGGGACGAGGCAAUGCAGACCAGAAGAAAAAAAAAGCGCUCACUGGGGGUCUGGAGCUGGAGUCUGACCCCAGGUCAGAGGUCCAGCUCUGGAUCCACUUCAACAACCCUCCCCUGGCCCACAGAGGCCAGGGACCAGACAGGUUUCCAGAAUCCAGACGUACCGAGUCCCUG
rnacentral:lncRNA from 1 species